rnacentral:lncRNA from 10 species
GGUGGGAUGCAGCACAGAGGUGCCUAGGGAAGGAGCUGCGCAGGCAGGAGGGAGGGCGGGCAGGAGGGCAGGGCAGGAGAGCCCGGGGUGGGGAACCCAGGUGACGCCAGCUCAGGGCUGAGCCUCAGAGGGCCCUGUGCAGGUGACACUAGCUCAGGGCUGAGCCCCAGAGGGCCCUGCGCAGGUGAUGCCAACUCAGGGCUGAGCCCCGGAGGACCCUGCACAAAGCAGGCAGCAGCGUUGUGUCCUGGCUUUCCAAGCUUUUCCUUAAAAAAAAUCUAGC